rnacentral:rRNA from 1 species
UACGUAGGGGGCAAGCGUUGUCCGGAAUUAUUGGGCGUAAAGAGCUCGUAGGCGGCUGUCCACGUCGGAUGUGAAAGCUCGGGGCUCAACCCUGAGAGGCCAUUCGAUACGGGGACGGCUAGAGGUAGGUAGGGGAGAUUGGAAUUCCUGGUGUAGCGGUGAAAUGCGCAGAUAUCAGGAGGAACACCGGUGGCGAAGGCGGGACUCUGGGCCGAUACUGACGCUGAGGAGCGAAAGCGUGGGGAGCAAACAGG